rfam:Ovis aries breed Texel chromosome 13, whole genome shotgun sequence.
UCCCAGGUGGUUCAGUGGUAAAGAAUCUGCCUGCCAAGCAGGAGAUACAGGUUCAAUCCAUGAGUUGGGAA